rnacentral:rRNA from 1 species
UACGGAGGGUGCAAGCGUUAUCCGGAUUCACUGGGUUUAAAGGGUGCGUAGGCGGGUAAGUAAGUCCGUGGUGAAAUCUCUGAGCUUAACUCAGAAACUGCCGUGGAUACUAUUUGCCUUGAAUAUUGUGGAGGUGAGCGGAAUAUGUCAUGUAGCGGUGAAAUGCUUAGAUAUGACAUAGAACACCAAUUGCGAAGGCAGCUCACUACACAAUCAUUGACGCUGAGGCACGAAAGCGUGGGGAGCAAACCGG